CGAACGCUGGCGGCGUGCUUAACACAUGCAAGUCGAACGGCAAGGCCCUGCUUUUGUGGGGUGCUCGAGUGGCGAACGGGUGAGUAACACGUGAGUAACCUGCCCUUGACUUUGGGAUAACUUCAGGAAACUGGGGCUAAUACCGGAUAGGAGCUCCUGCUGCAUGGUGGGGGUUGGAAAGUUUCGGCGGUUGGGGAUGGACUCGCGGCUUAUCAGCUUGUUGGUGGGGUAGUGGCUUACCAAGGCUUUGACGGGUAGCCGGCCUGAGAGGGUGACCGGCCACAUUGGGACUGAGAUACGGCCCAGACUCCUACGGGAGGCAGCAGUGGGGAAUAUUGCACAAUGGGCGGAAGCCUGAUGCAGCAACGCCGCGUGCGGGAUGACGGCCUUCGGGUUGUAAACCGCUUUCGCCUGUGACGAAGCGUGAGUGGCGGUAAUGGGUAAAGAAGCACCGGCUAACUACGUG
rnacentral:rRNA from 1 species